GGAGAAGUAAGGGCCGGGUAAGACGGGUGCCAGCCGCCGCGGUAAUACCCGCGGCCCAAGUGGUGGUCGAUAUUAUUGAGCCUAAAACGUCCGUAGCCGGUCUUGUAAAUCCUUGGGUAAAUCGACCAGCUUAACUGUUCGAAGUCCGGGGAGACUGCAAGACUUGGGAUCGGGAGAGGUGAGAGGUACUUCUGGGGUAGGGGUAAAAUCCUGUAAUCCUAGAAGGACCACCGGUGGCGAAGGCGUCUCACUAGAACGAAUCCGACGGUGAGGGACGAAGCCCUGGGGCGCAAACGGGAUUAGAUACCCGUGUAGUCCC
rnacentral:rRNA from 1 species